rfam:Dipodomys ordii contig_16407, whole genome shotgun sequence.
GGUAGCUCAGUGGUAGAGUGCUUGCCUAGCAUGCAUGAAGCCCUGGGUUCAAUUCCUCAGUACCA